rnacentral:lncRNA from 1 species
AAAACAAACACGGCGCAGUCAAACGGAAAACAGAGCGCGUCAGGGACGUGUAGUAGGAAGGAAACGUGAUUCACGGUUGACAUUAGCCGAUCCGUCUAGAAAUAACAGUCAGCUUUGCCGAAAAAGACGUACCGUUUGACGAAACUUCAUCCAUCACAGCAUCUAGAACUGACACACUCCCACUCCGCGCUUCAGCCACUGAAUAUAGAGCGAGCAGAUUCGAAAUCCAUUCUUCACGUUACGGACAUUGCGCAGUAGCGCGAAAUUUAAACAUCACGCAGGAAAAAUAUACAGCGGUUGGAAAGUAUUCGAACACUUGCGAUUGGGAAUAAAAAUAGAUGAAAAUAAAUAUCGAAUAAGUUUCAUCAAAUACAGCUUAUUUACACAAAAAUAUAAAUAUUAAUUUCAAUUAAUUACUAAAUAAUAAUCAAUGUAGUAUAAGGAUACUAUAGAUAUAAUAAGAAUGUCCACUUAUUGUUGUCCUCGACUGUAUCAUAGAAAACUUUCUAGUAUAUAAUGUAUAUGUUACAUAAAACAUUUUGAAAUUCCAUUAUCACUAGGAUGAGACAGUCAGGUUACUUUCUUCUUCAAUCAUUUUAUAUUAAAUUAAGAAGUCAACAUUUUCCAGAAUUAAUGUUUAUUUAAAGAUAAGAAAAUUAGUUGGUAAGGAGGUAGUCGUUUAUUUUUCACACUACUUUUGGUCUUUGAUUUAACUAAAAUCAAUACAGAUACAGUUCAUUAUAUCUCAGAUAUAUGUAUACCUUAAACUAGUCUUUGAUAACGUAUCAAGAUUUUUAACAUAUUUCAAAGAUAAAUGUAUGAAGAAUCGUGCAAAAUUAAUACUAUUUUUUUGUGAUAAUAUACAUAUUCUCUGUGGGAAUGUCUAUUUUAGACUAAAAUAUAUAUAAUUAAUGUAAUAUAAGCGACAUUAUCGCGUGCAAAGAUUAAAAAUGAGUAUAUUACGAUAUUGUACUUAUUACAAUUAAAAACUUAAUUGGGUAUAUAUCAAUACAUAUUAUUCCAUCUCACAUUCAUUGGUACAGCUUAAUCUCGAAGAUUCGGUCUAUUCGUAGAUAAAUUUCACAUUAAAAAAUUUUUUUCAAUUGUGUUAUCUAUAGCUAGACUGCGGAUAUUUAUACAAAUUCAUGUCUUUAUGGAAAAAAGUAAAGAAAUGGAACCGAGAUAGAGAUUUGUUUCGCUUACUAAAUAUUAUAAUAUCCACAUUACUUUGAAUAUUUUAUCUUUUAAUUUCGAAUAAAUGCAUAAAAAUCUGCAGUCCAUCCAUCACUUAAAUCGUCAAUUCCAAGUAUGUACUAUAAACUUAUUAGUAUUACCAAUAUUAUAAAACUUACUUAUAUAAUAUAUUAAUUAUUAUGCAUGUUAUACGAUAUACUGCGAAUUUUAUGUAUUUAUGCAAAUUUAAAGAUGCAAAAAUGCACAGAAUUUAUGUUAGAUACAAAAGUAUAUAAAAUAUCCAAAGUAGAAUAUUUCUUAUAAUUUUUAAUAAGCAAGAGAACUCUCUAUUUAAGCUCUUAUUUUUUUUUUUUUCAAUUACGUUCAUAAAGGUAUAAAUUUGCAUAAAAAUCCGCGGUCUAACGAUAAUUCAAAUACUUUCGUGAGCCAUUGUACGAGUCUUUGGAACUAACAUAAUCCAACUUUUCUUUCAGUUUGUCUCGAAUUUGUUGAUUUCACUGUACCGUUAGCCGAUCGAAGGUCUUCAGGAAAUAAAAUCUCACUGAGGUAUUCUCAACAUAACAUCAGUGUGACAUGCUCAAUCGAUUGCACUCUUCCCCGGCUGACCUUCUCGAAAUAUGUACAAAAUCCGAAUAAUCCUCGGUCGUCCAGCGACAACUUCCGGCACUCUCAAUGCCUUAUCGAUUAUUUGGGUACGAGUAGCCACAAAUAACAGUCGGUUGCUUAUAACAUACCUCUACACGAGUAAAACUGUACAAGAUGCUUACGUCUGAAUAAUUUCAAUCACAGUAAAGAUUGUGCAGAGCCGUCGUCAUUCUAUUCUCUCUGAUGUCUUCGUUUUCUUUCUCGACCACUGCUCAAAAUAAUUAGUAUUCUUUUCCUUUUAUAGUAAAAUAUCGUUACAACAAAGUCAAAAGACGAAAAUUUUCUGUUCAGGAUGGAAAGGUAUAAGAACUCUUUUCGAUAGGACAUUGAACAAUUUUUAAAGCUUUGCUUGUCUUAGACAAUUUUUGUUGAAGAGAUACUAAACAAUUGUCUGUUUUCUUUUUUAGCAGAAAUAAAGCUAAUAAAAGAACGGAAAAUCUCCAGAUAAAGAAAUUAUUAUAGGAAUGACGAGUUAUCUUCUUGGUUAACAAGUUAAAAGAAGAUUAGAGAGUUAUGUGAAAGACAAAAAUGUGAAAGGCAUUUCAAUGUCAACAUGUUUCUCAAGUUCUAGGACGUAAGACAUACAGCUAGACGAGAAUAUCAAAUAUUUAAUGUGGCUCAGACAUUGAACUCGACUCGUGUAGCAUUCACAGCGAAAAUAAGAAAUAACAAAUCUGUUUGAUCAAGUGUCUUCCAGAUUGUUUUGAGCAGUGCGGAUGAGAUGAAUCAUAAUCUUUCAUGAUUCUUGAAUAUUUAAUCCGCAUUGUUAUCUCUGGUGCUAAUUUUAUCUUGCAUCGGAUACACGAGUGGCCUUAAAAAUGUCUUAAGUGAGAUAGAAAUUCGUUGAAUGCACAAGAUUCAAAGUCUAAGCUAUCAAAGUGGAUAGAAAAAUCGUAAACAUAGUGGAGUUCAUUGGUACGUUGUAAAUCCAUCAAGUUAAUGUAGAAAUGCAUCAACUGUUACUUCACAAAAGAAUUUAAUUCGAUGCGUUAUUACAUUAUUGUUUAGCGAUUUGUAAUAAAUUUUAAUAAAUUCCUUUCAACUAUCUCCGCAUCAACUUGAUGGAUAAUCCUAAUCUAAGAAGGAUCGUAGCUAAUGCCGCUCGUUUGUAUACAAUUGCAUGCAUUUGCGUAACGGCAAUGGCGACGAAUGAUAUGCAAGAGAUGCGAAGCUUAUUUCGGUACCAUAGUUCCAGUAAAAACCUCCUUUAUCGCAUUCAAUCGAGCAACAAUUAUUCAAUAAUCAUACUGUAUCUUAUUUUUUCCUGUUGCUGAACUUUGCUUCAAUUUAAAUUUAAAAAAAAAAACAAACAAAGUUCUCACUACUUUGUAUGUCUGCGGUGAAUAACUUUCUCUUGCUCUUUCUACGAAGGUUGAUUACCUAAACCGACACUUUUAAAGUUGGAAACACGUUAAAAGAGUAAUAUUGAGCAGUAAAAUUAUGAAUUAUUUUGUCCGUAAUAUAAAUUUGAUUCAAUUACUUAUACGCGACGCCCUUGAAGUUUGUAAUCCUCUUUUUCAAGUUUUGCACCAAUUUCUUUUCAAGGGCAUUAGAGAUAUUGCACAAUAUCUUUUCUACGCCUCAUUUCAAGAUUACGAAACGAAGGGCAAAAUAAUUUUUCGUAUCAACACACGACUAAUCUCGAACGUUCUGCAACAAAAUUGCAAGGACGACAGGUGUUAACAUUUGCAUAGCCGCUUCUCGCUUUCAGGCCGAUGUGAACCUAUCUGUUGCUUUCUUUAUCUUGUAAUUCAUCUUGUUCAAUUCGAGAAUAACAUUAGUUUGUAGACUUUUAUAACUUUUAAAUUCUAUAAGACUUCUAAAAGGAAUUUUUAAUUCUACAAGAGUUAAGAAACACCAAAUUCUUUUUCAUUUUCUUCCACUUGAGAUAGAAAAUAAAAUAAAUAUUCCCGCGUCUCUCUGUCAAGGUUUUUCAAGAAAUCUUUAAUUCUAUAAAAUCUAAGAAAUCUCAUCUUAUUUCUCUUUUUCUUUUACUUGGAAUAAGCCAGAAAAACACAGAAAGAAGCUAAUAUCUUUUACGUUCACCAGGAAUUAAAUCUUUAGAUUUCAAGAACAAUCUCAGAGUCAGUUAGAAAAAAUGGCAUUCCAGGGAAAACAGUGACCUGUAACAAUGUAAAUUCAUGAAUGACCAGCAAAGAAGAUUCCC